UUCUGCGAGCCCGCCGGUACAUCAGUCUCUUUAUUUAUACCAACGAUACUUCUGAGUGUUCUUAGCGAACCAUUAAAACUUUUAACAACGGAUCUCUUGGCUCUAGCAUCGAUGAAGAACGCAGCGAAACGCGAUAUGUAGUGUGAAUUGCAGAAUUCAGUGAAUCAUCGAAUCUUUGAACGCACAUGGCGCCUUCCAGUAUCCUGGGAGGCAUGCCUGUCCGAGCGUCGUUUCAACCCUCGAGCCCCAGUGGCCCGGUGUUGGGGAUCUACGUCUGUAGGCCCUUAAAAGCAGUGGCGGACCCGCGUGGCCCUUCCUUGCGUAGUAAUUACAGCUCGCAUCGGAGUCCCGCAGGCACUUGCCUCUAAACCCCCUACAAGCCCGCCUCGUGCGGCAACGGUUGACCUCGG
rnacentral:rRNA from 1 species